GAGCAGUGAUGCUACCUGCAUUAAUUGUGAACGAUGGGUCGUCACACACAUCUGAUAUCAGAUGAAAAUUUGUGCUUCUGAGCUC